rnacentral:snoRNA from 1 species
UGCAUUUACCUGGAGGCUUCGCGUGCCUGCAAGACGCCUAGCCUAGUCAUUAAUAAAUGCUAGAGAAAAUGCCUGAAUCGGACAUUACUUUGGCCCUGAUUCUCCCAGGGUCAGAGUAUAAUAUGGUUCAGUUAACA